AUAUCCUACCCUUUGUGAAUUUGUUGUUUGAAAUAAUUUUUUUUAAAAUUAUUGAUGUCUUUCCCUGUUGAAUUGAUUGUCGUAGACAAGAUUCUCAGGGAUAGUCAAUAAUUUUAAAAAGACCUUUUUUUAAAUUAAACUUUUUGUAUUCAUUGUCUAAAAUUAUUUUAUAAUAUAAAAACAACUUUUGACAAUGGAUCUCUUGGUUCUCGCAACGAUGAAGAACGCAGCAAAUGCGAUAAGUAGUGUGAAUUGCAGAAUACGUGAAUCAUCGAAUCUUCGACGCAUAUUGCACUUUUUAGUUUACUAAAAAGUAUGUCUGUUUGAGUAUCAGUAAAAUAUUCUCAUAAAAACUAUUGUUUUUAUGGUUAUGAGUGUUUUACAACGAUACAAGUUGUUUCACUUUAAAUUUUUUUUAAAAUUUGAAUUUUUUCUAAUUUUAAUAUAAAUUGGAUAAAAUUUUCCCGUAAAAGGAAUAACCUAAACAAUUUUAUAACUAUAGAAAUUUCAAAAAAAAAGGAAAUUAUAAAUAACUUGAUCUCAAAUCAGAUAAGAGUACCGCUGAACUUAAGCAUAUCAAUAAGCGGAGGAAAAGAACUAACAAGGAUUCCUUAGUAACGACGAGUGAAGCGGGAAGAGCUCAAAUUUGAAAUCUUCAAGGUUUUACCUUGAUGAAUUGUAGUUUAAAGAAGUGUUUUCUGUUGAAGUUUGGUAAAAGUUCUUGGAAUAGGACAUCAUAGAGGUGAGAAUCCGUAUUUGACCAUUAUUUUCAGCUGUGUGAUACACUUUCAAAGAGUCGGAUUGUUUGGGAAUGCAGUCCAAAAUGGGUGGUAAAUUUCAUCUAAAGCUAAAUAUUGGCGGGAGACGAUAGCGAACAGUACCGUGAGGGAAAGAUGAAAAGAACUUUGAAAAGAGAGUUAAACAGUACGUGAAAUUGUCAAAAGGAAGCGUUUGACACCAGUGUUGUUUCUCGAAAAUCAAUUAAAAGAGUUGAUUUGUGUUGUAUUGACUUAAAGCUUCUUCACUUUUUCAUGCUUUUUUAAUGCACUUUUCGUCUAACAAGUCAAUCAGUUUUUUUGUUGUAAAAGGGUCAUUGAAGGUGGCUUUCUUUUCGGAGAAGUGUUUAUAGCCUUUGAUCUCUGCAAUCGGAGAGACUGAGGUCUGCAGCGUAGAUCUUCGGGGUUAGAUACAUUGUGCUAAGUUAUAUACUUUUUCAUAGACAACUUGUUGAUA
rnacentral:misc_RNA from 1 species